rnacentral:rRNA from 1 species
GACGAACGCUGGCGGCGUGCUUAACACAUGCAAGUCGAACGGAAAGGCCCCUUUGGGGGUACUCGAGUGGCGAACGGGUGAGUAACACGUGAGUAACCUGCCCUUGACUUCGGGAUAACUUCAGGAAACUGGGGCUAAUACCGGAUAGGAAUCCUUGCUGCAUGGUGGGGGUUGGAAAGCUUCGGCGGUUUUGGUUGGACUCGCGGCUUAUCAGCUUGUUGGUGGGGUAGUGGCUUACCAAGGCUUUGACGGGUAGCCGGCCUGAGAGGGCGACCGGCCACAUUGGGACUGAGAGACGGCCCAGACUCCUACGGGAGGCAGCAGUGGGGAAUAUUGCACAAUGGGCGGAAGCCUGAUGCAGCAACGCCGCGGGCGGGAGGACGGCCUUCGGGUUGUAAACCGCUUUCAGCAGGGGCGAAGCUUGUGGUGACGGUACCUGCAGAAGAAGCACCGGCUAACUACGUG